ensembl:lncRNA
CCUUCUUCCUCCUCUUCGCUGAAUACAGCUCACGGUAAGUACUGGUUCACACAGUUCGUUCUCGAGGUGCUCACUCUCUUUCUCUUCCUCCACAGGCAACGGCUGGGACACAAAAGCACAGUUAAUUCGGCUUGGUUUUGCUCUCACCUCUUCGCUGAUUACAGCUCACAGUAAGUACUGGUUCACACAGUUCGUUCCUUGGGUGCUCACUCGCUUUCUCUUUCUCCACAGGCAGCGGCGUAAGUACAGGUUUCCUCUGUUUCUCCUUGUGUUACUCACUCUCUCUCUCCUUUUCUCUCCACAGGUAUCAACUUAGGCACAAAGCACAGUUACUCUGCUUUGGAUGGCUUUCACCUCUGGGCUGGACACAGUGUACCGUGCUAUCUCCGGAGAUCUGAAGCACGCUCACAACAUAUACUGUACUGAACUAGGCUAGGACCAGCAGUCUCCUUGUCCUCCCGCAACGAAGUGCGUGAAGGCGGGGGUUUAUCUGACAAGACACACGGCAAUACACAGCAGCCCACAGCAAUAUACAGCACCACGUCAAAAUUUUAGGUUUUCACAGCACGAAGACUCACCCACCACACUCAGUGUACGAAAAGGACACCCGUCUUCCUUCACUUCGCUUGGUUCGGAUCUGGCGAUGGAAUAUGCGGCCUAGCUAGUGAUGUCGUCGUUGUGACUACUUCAAUAAGUAUUCCUUCGGCUCUCCCACCACGCUAUAUUAGGGGUAGGGCCGCCCUCCUCCUCCUGGAGAGAUCUACACAACG